UACAGAGGUGGCAAGCGUUAUCCGGAAUUAUUGGGCGUAAAGCGUUCGUAGGUGGUUUGACAAGUCUGGGGUUAAAGCCCGGAGCCCAACUCCGGAUCGGCCCUGGAAACUGUCAGACUUGAGUAAGGUAGGGGUUGCGGGAAUUCCCGGUGUAGCGGUGAAAUGCGUAGAUAUCGGGAAGAACGCCAGCGGCGAAAGCGCGCAACUGGGCCAUUACUGACACUGAGGGACGAAAGCUAGGGGAGCGAAUGGG
rnacentral:rRNA from 1 species